AGUGAACGCUGGCGGUAGGCCUAACACAUGCCAGUCGAACGGCAGCACAGUAAGAGCUUGCUCUUACGGGUGGCGAGUGGCGGACGGGUGAGGAAUACAUCGGAAUCUACUUUUUCGUGGGGGAUAACGUAGGGAAACUUACGCUAAUACCGCAUACGACCUACGGGUGAAAGCAGGGGAUCUUCGGACCUUGCGCGAUUGAAUGAGCCGAUGUCGGAUUAGCUAGUUGGCGGGGUAAAGGCCCACCAAGGCGACGGUCCGUAGCUGGUCUGAGAGGAUGAUCAGCCACACUGGAACUGAGACACGGUCCAGACUCCUACGGGAGGCAGCAGUGGGGAAUAUUGGACAAUGGGCGCAAGCCUGAUCCAGCAAUACCGCGUGGGUGAAGAAGGCCUUCGGGUUGUAAAGCCCUUUUGUUGGGAAAGAAAAGCAGCAGGUUAAUACCCCGCUGUUCUGACGGUACCCAAAGAAUAAGCACCGGCUAACUUCGUG
rnacentral:rRNA from 1 species